rnacentral:snRNA from 1 species
CCGUCUCUAAGAGCAGAAU